AGGAGCGUGGUUCAAUGGUAGAGCAUCGGUCUCCAAAACCGUGGACGCGGGUUCGAUUCCUGCCGCCCCUGCCA
rnacentral:tRNA from 2 species